rnacentral:rRNA from 1 species
GUAAGUCAAAAUUUUUAAUUGUUUGUAGGUUUUAUGUGCCUUUUGCAUCAUGCUUAGUGGAUUAUAUGAAGUAUUUUCUUUAACCGAAAAGCCUAGAUCUCUCAUGCAGUUAGUGAGUAAAAAGUCGAGUAGACGAUUAUAAACUGUGUAAGUGUUGUGAUAAAUUAGUCGGUAGGCUUAAUAACUGUUUUAUAGCUAGUUAUUUUUUUAUACUGCGUUGGUAAGGAUAUCAAUGCAGCAAAUAUAUUCUCUUAACUUAGAUGUUAAAAAGGGGUUAAAAUUACCCAUUUUUAAUAAUAGUGUUACAACUUUUAAUAGUUUUAUUAUGGAUUAUAUUGAGUGGCUAUUAUAGUUAAAUUUUUAGUUUAUUAAGUAUCAUUAAAUAAGUAAUAUUAAUACAUUUAAAUGUUUCUCAAGUUUUGCCUGUCUGUUUAUCAAAAACAUUUCCAUAAUAAAGAUUUUAUGGUAGUGCCUGCUCUAUGUUAAUAUAAAUGGCCGCAGUAUCUUGACUGUGCGAAGGUAGCAUAAUUAAUUGCCUUAUAAUUGAAGGCUAGUUUGAAUGGUUUGACAUGGUAGAUACAAACAUAUAAUGUUUUAUUGAAAUUAAUAUUGAGGGCACAGAAUCCUCAUUUGAUUAAUUAGACGGAAAGACCCCGGGAUCUUUCUUUUUUGCCUGGGGCAGGUUUAAAUAUUUCAUUUAUAUUGAGACCCUUAUUAAAGUCCAGUGGGUUAAGUUACCCCGGGGAUAACAGUGUAAUAACUUAUUAGAGGCCUUAUCGAAUAAGUUGUUUGCUACCUCGAUGUUGACUUAGGUUAUAGUGUCAGGCGCAGUAGUCUGGUAUUAAGGUCUGUUCGACCUAUAUUACCUCCAUGAGUUGAGUUAAGACCGGCGUGAGCCAGGUCGGUUCUUAUCUAUUUUUCUGAUUUAUUAGUACGAAAGGAUUGUAAAUCGUUUUUUU